UGGGGAACAUUGCACAAUGGGCGAAAGCCUGAUGCAGCAACGCCGCGUGAGUGAUGAAGGUCUUCGGAUUGUAAAGCUCUGUCUUUUGGGACGAUAAUGACGGUACCAAAGGAGGAAGCCACGGCUAACUACGUGCCAGCAGCCGCGGUAAUACGUAGGUGGCGAGCGUUGUCCGGAUUUACUGGGCGUAAAGGGUGCGUAGGCGGAUGUUUAAGUGAGAUGUGAAAUACCCGGGCUUAACUUGGGUGCUGCAUUUCAAACUGGAUAUCUAGAGUGCAGGAGAGGAGAAUGGAAUUCCUAGUGUAGCGGUGAAAUGCGUAGAGAUUAGGAAGAACACCAGUGGCGAAGGCGAUUCUCUGGACUGUAACUGACGCUGAGGCACGAAAGCGUGGGUAGCAAACAGGAUUAGAUACCCUGGUAGUCCACGCCGUAAACGAUGAGUACUAGGUGUAGGAGGUAUCGACCCCUUCUGUGCCGCAGUAAACACAUUAAGUACUCCGCCUGGGAAGUACGAUCGCAAGAUUAAAAC
rnacentral:rRNA from 1 species